UAAUUAUUUUCUCUGAUUACAUCAUUGUAUGGCCGAUCUGAAGAACAUUAUUGAUAGUAGGAGUACAUCAUACAAGGUUGAUUUUAGUCUGUUGUCACCGACUCAUAACCUGAAAAUGUAAUUAUCCUGUUUGUGAUAAGAUUUGGGUGCUCCUAGCUAUAACUUUUCAUAAAAAACAAAAAGAACAAUAAAAAAAGUGCAAAGGAUACUCAUGUUACCAGAACCAGUUAACGGUUUUCUCAUACAAGGUGCAACAUCAGCUUUUAUCUCUAUCAACGUUAUCAUGUGAGAACGCACCAACCCAACACCCCCACUCUCUCUCCUCUCAUUUCUCUCUGUUCGCUUCCCUUCUCCUCGCGAUGCCGCCGCCGCCCUGCUCCGGCCGGUUGCCGCCUUGCUGGCCAUCUCCGGCGCCACCGCUCUCUAGCACCGCCUCUCCGCGGACUCCUCCGUCGAUCCCUCUUCUCGAUUUGACCCUCACGCCCUCUCUCUUCUGUCCUCGACCUCGAGAACACGGCCUCCCCUGCCGGUUCAGCUGCCACCGGUAGCUACCGAAGCUGCCACGCAUCGAUGAGACGCCGCUCAGACUUCCUCCGCUUGCUCUCCAUCACAGCCACGCUUCUAGGCGCACCCGCGCGGCCACAUAUUUGGGCCUCCUCUCGCCAGCCCUCCUUACCGACACAAGACCUUCCGCUUAUCCCCUCCUCGAGAUGCAAGCUUCACGAAGAAAUCAUGGACUGGCAUUAUAUUGGCGUGUGAGAGAGAGGGAGACGUUCCUUGUUGUCAUUGAUCAUGGUGGCAAUGUGCCGAACUGGGAGGGGCAAAGUUAUGAGAUCAGUCCUCCGGCAAGUGUUUAGUACUUCAACCAUUUUCUCAGCCAGGGCAAAUCUUGGAAGGGUCAGUGAGAAGGGAACCAUGGGAAUAAACUGGGAUUGGAGUUGGUCAAGUCAUUUACCACAGGUCUCAGAUAUGGCCUGCUAUUGUUUAUUCAGUUGAGACUAUUGAGCAAGUUGCAGUAAACCUGAGGCCGACGUGUAGCAAUUUAAGCACCUACCCUAAUGGAUGAUUCAUUUCUCUUCGGGUGGAGAGAAGUGAGGCCUGGAAGAACCAUGGUGAUCUGAUGUGCUGCCGAGCAAGGAAGAAGGUCUUGUGUUGGGCGCAUGUGGACCUGGAGGUGCUUACCGGUACUCUGUUGGGUAAGUGUUGGGCACGUGUGGACCUGGAGGUGCAGCUGGCUUACAGGGAGAGCAGCUGGGUGACCUGGAGCUGCCGCGAGUUGGGCCACAAGCUGGGUGGCGCAACCAGAUCGUCGGUGAAGGAGUCCGAUGGUGAGACAUAACUGUUGUUCGCCGCUGCAAGCCUGUCCAUGGCCAGCGCGGACACAGUGGGUCACGCCGCUGUAGUUUGGAUUAUCAAGUAGUUUGGAUUAUCACCUAGUUUGGCUUCUGUGUGAUAGUUUGUAGGAAUUUAAAUGUUUGAAUUAUCUGUUUUUAUUACCAGAUGUUUAUGCCGGUUGUUUCUGUAGUUUCGACAGAAUUUGAUGUUGUUUAGUAGGCAAUCAUAACUUGAA